CAGUCGCCGCGGUAAUACGUAGGGUGCGAGCGUUAAUCGGAAUUACUGGGCGUAAAGCGUGCGCAGGCGGUUGUGUAAGACAGGUGUGAAAUCCCCGGGCUUAACCUGGGAACUGCGCUUGUGACUGCACAGCUAGAGUAUGGCAGAGGGGGAUGGAAUUCCACGUGUAGCAGUGAAAUGCGUAGAGAUGUGGAGGAACACCGAUGGCGAAGGCAGCCCCCUGGGCCAAUACCGACGCUCAUGCACGAAAGCGUGGGGAGCAAACAGGAUUAGAUACCCCUGUAGUCCCUGUCUCUUAUAC
rnacentral:rRNA from 1 species